AAAAAAAAAAAAAAAAAAAAAGGCUUCUUGUGUGAGGCUGCUCUUGCUCUCACUGUUAUCCUUUGGGCAGCAUGCAAAGGAACUCAGCUACAGAGGCUCAAGUGGCAUUAAACCUUACUUUGAACUGGCUGAGGAUUUCCCAAGAAGCUACAAACCCCAGCCGCAGCGGUCUCCGAGCUACCCGGCCAAGCCCCAGCCCCAGAGCAUAACGGUAGGGCGGGUCU